CGCGACGAUGCGGGAGAGAUCGCAACGAAGGCUUCCAGCCUUCCUUGCGGCGCCGACGGAGCAACCGCCCCGGAAACUCUCAGGCAAAAGGACUGUAUCGUCAGG
rfam:Bradyrhizobium sp. S23321 DNA, complete genome.